CCUACGGGAGGCUGCAGUGGGGAAUAUUGCACAAUGGGCGCAAGCCUGAUGCAGCCAUGCCGCGUGUGUGAAGAAGGCCUUCGGGUUGUAAAGCACUUUCAGCGGGGAGGAAGGCGGUGAGGUUAAUAACCUCAUCGAUUGACGUUACCCGCAGAAGAAGCACCGGCUAACUCCGUGCCAGCAGCCGCGGUAAUACGGAGGGUGCAAGCGUUAAUCGGAAUUACUGGGCGUAAAGCGCACGCAGGCGGUCUGUCAAGUCGGAUGUGAAAUCCCCGGGCUCAACCUGGGAACUGCAUUCGAAACUGGCAGGCUAGAGUCUUGUAGAGGGGGGUAGAAUUCCAGGUGUAGCGGUGAAAUGCAUAGAGAUCUGGAGGAAUACCGGUGGCGAAGGCGGCCCCCUGGACAAAGACUGACGCUCAGGUGCGAAAGCGUGGGGAGCAAACAGGAUUAGAUACCCUUGUAGUC
rnacentral:rRNA from 1 species